UGAAAAACCAGCCCAUUCCAUGCCAAGAUAUAUAGGUGGCGGACUACCCAAUGGUGGUUCUAACAGUAAAUGAUCCGAUUGCUGUUGUUGUUGUUGUUGCUGAACUUCCUGGCAGUCGGAAGGUGGCAAAUGCGACGUCAAUGAACAUUGAAAUCUGUGAUCCCCGAUGAUUGCAUCUCGAGUAUUGGACAGUACAUCUAUUACCUGCACUCUGGCCUCUGUCAAUUGGAUACGAAGUGCAAGUUCUUCUCGAAAGAAUACAUCAGGAUAAUGUGUUUUCUGAAAGGCUCUUUCCAACUCCUCCAACUGGAAAUUGGUGAAUGUGGUGCGGUAUCUACGCUGCUUUCGUUUACCAACUCCGGACGGUUGUCGGUCCUCGCUUCCCGGACUUGAUGAGAAAUCGUAAGCUAUAACAAUCCACAGGCGCUAUCAGUGCGGUGACUUAAACGCGUGACUCGCUAGGUGCGUAAUCGACCAUACAAUGUCGUUGUAAAAUUGAACAAAUGCGUGCUACGGGCCAAAACAGAAGCGAAACACUUUUGGUAAAGUCAGGAACUGUAUCGGAGACUCACUCACUGUACGCUGCACUUAAUGGCGUUGAAAUUCACAUGCCGUAAAAUGGUUCAUAACUGUUAAACUGAUUACCACUAACUCUAUUUAAAACAAGGGCUGCCGAUUCGCUUAAUGCAUUUAGCAAUAAUUUAAUUGAGGACUGCUCCAACUUACGAGCCGACAGGUAGAAAGUGGCAGUUAAUUAAAUCAGGUCUGGGGUGGCAGGGUGCACUUACAGAAUUUUGUAGGAAAGCAAACCGAGGAAGAUUGCGCGCCUAUCAGACUAGCCAGAGCAGUCGACUGUAGAUCUCCUCCGGGGUUGAUCUCGUCUGGUGCUCCAGCAGAAGCAACGAUCGCCCCAGCUGAUACCAAUGGAUCACGCGGUGCACCCACCAAAAACAGUUGCCUGCUACUUUCGUUCGCACCAUCGUCUUCUUCUUUCAUAUCCAUCGCGAUCCACUUAGUCCCGAAGUUCGUGUGGGUACCACAGCAGCUCCGCAACUCCGCUAUUUCUUUUCUCUUUUCUUCCUUUUUUUCCUUACACCUGUGCGAUGUAGACAGGGUAGGGGAUAGAGUAUAUUCAACAUGAACACCUUCAAGAGGGGUAGUGAAGCCUCAAAAAUGUAUUGCUUGUACACCACGAAUCAAUAGCACGGGUGUGUACAGUGGGAAAAAAGGUAGAUCUAGUUCUUCACAUGCUCGUUUGCGUUUUACGAACAAUUUAGAUUUACGAUUUUUCAUAUUUUAGAACAUGGAAACUCGAAAUGUAUUUCACUGAAUUAGUCGUUCGGCAUGACGUUUUAAAUGUUCGAUAACGAUUUUUAUGAAAAAGGGAUUAGCCUUAAAUGCAUAAUUUAAAACACAAGUCUUUUAUAUUUACUUCUUUAUUAAAUCGGUGUAUUAUAUGUAUAAAAUUUACUACAUCCAUCCAUACUUAAUAAAUGAAGACACAUUGUGCCUUAAAAGUG